AAAAAAUCAUAGGUUAAUUGAAUGUUAGUUUUGAACUGCAAUUUUCUUUAUAAGAAACUGAUAAAUGUACAUAAUAUCAGUGUUCAAAAUUAUGUUAGCCGCGACUAAUUGGGAAUUAAUUAGGUCUAGUUUUUGGAGCUUUUGCGUGAAUAGUUAAUUAUAUACUUAAUGUAUUGAUAGUGGAUUGUAAAACUUGUCGGCUCAGUUGGUAAGUUAGUGUGUUUUAAUUCAACAGACCCGAGUUCACUUCAAGUUUUUUUUGUUUUUUUUUCUGUUUUUCAAUAAGGGGUAGAUUUGUAACUAUAACAUCUUCUCUUUCCCUGUAACCUACAUACGAUUUAUCAAGCUAAAAAAUGGUGGCCUCCACAUCUUUUUCUAGUUUUUUCACUCGUUUUUAUCAUUAUUUUAGUCAUUUUAAAUGAAACUUUACAAAUCUAAAUUAUAUUAGAAAAUUUUUAGGUUUAGUUGCAUCAACCGAAUUGGAUCGACUUGCCCCCUUUUCACUGUUACGCAGGUCACACAGCAGCUGGUGGAUAUGGCGGAGGUGGUCCGGGAUAUGGUGGACACGGACCAGGUGAAGGUGGGUUUUUGGUCCGACGGUGAUUUGGGUCAGGUGAUUUUCGUAGUGGAGUCAUCAUUGGUAGUGGUGGUGGUGGUGGUGGUGGUGGGUGUUGGUAAAACUUAAA
rnacentral:lncRNA from 1 species